rnacentral:lncRNA from 1 species
GCCAGCUCCCAGGUCAUUUCCUGUAUAGAGGAUCUUUCAUUAGGGUGGCCUUACUCGUGAUAUAUAGCAUUUCUUUUGCUUCAGAGUUACUUAUAUUACUCCACUGUUUAUCACUUUGUGGUUUUAUUUUAUAUUAUCCUUGUCCCAUAAUGACUCAUCAGACUGUGAACAUGUAUAAUGAAGCCUGAGCUGCAUUCUGCUGGCAGAGCUGCAGAGCUCUGUUCACAAAACUUCCAGCAGCUCUCCUGGUUGUGUGUGCUUCAUAAAGGUGUGAGUCAAUAAUUCAAACCAACAUCUCACCUGCUCUGAAAAUACAAUUGCUUUGAGGGCAAAUCUGGCUUCAGAAAUAAGGGCUUGCAAGAUUGCAGGGGGAAAAAAAAAAAAAAAAGAGCAAUUUCAGGGCAGGGUAAGUUGUUGUUUUGCUUGUGUCUGCCCAAAAUAUAGCAGUGUUUUAUGUCAGAAGAGCUUUUCCUAGUGGCAGUGAAUGAGAGACUGUAAUGGAUAAUAAAUGCUGAGGGUCAGGAGGUUUUCAAACUUCUUUUGCAGUAUGUGCUGGCUUUGAAUGACUCAGAGUCCUUCACCCUUUUUGUUCCAGGAAGCGUGCAUCACCUUCCCACCUCUCCCAUAAAUGAAGUGUGGUGGCAGAGUGUUUAAAGUAAGACCCAGAGGGCCUAAGUUGGAGGUUCCAGGCAGCUGAGGACUCCAGCUGAAGCUCUGGAGAUGACCUGGUGGCAUAUCCUCUCUGGCUGCUACGGCAUUUACUUGCUGUAUGAACAUGAGAAGGAAUAUUGAGGACAGCAUUCACAGCCACUCUCAUCCACUGAAAAAGAGCCAUCACUUCACACACCAGCUACCAAGCGGGAGGAAGAGGUGCUGUCGCUCUCCAGCUGCUCUCACCCUGCCUUUGGUACCAGCUUUGCUCCUUCCUGAGGCCUAACCUAAUCACGCUGAAGUUUUGGCAUGCCAGGACUCCAAGCCGCAUGACAAAACAGAAAAUUAGAUCCCCUCCACCACCACCAUGGUAUUAGCUGAAUAUCACAGGAGAUUCAUUAAAUUCUGGGCAGCCUGAUGCAGCCCAGCAUGGGAAUGAGGAACCUGGCCUCCUCUCACAUGGCCUCAAUGCAUGUGAGGGAGAGAAGGGAGAGCAGUGCUGAGGCUACAACUUCUGGCUAGCUGUUAUAACCCUCAUCAGAUGUCCCUUUGAGCCAUUUUUGAGCACCACAAGUUCAAAUCAAGAGCAAGUUCUUACAUCAAGGCAUGAAUAAAUAAUGAAACAACCCUCGCUGCA